UGCCAGCCGCCGCGGUAAUACGUAGGGUGCGAGCGUUAAUCGGAAUUACUGGGCGUAAAGCGCGCGUAGGCGGCUUUGUAAGUCGGAUGUGAAAUCCCCGGGCUUAACCUGGGAACUGCAUUCGAUACUGCAGAACUAGAGUAUGGUAGAGGGAAGUGGAAUUUCCGGUGUAGCGGUGAAAUGAGUAGAUAUCGGAAGGAACACCAGUGGCGAAGGCGACUUUCUGGACCGAUACUGACGCUGAUACGCGAAAGCGUGGGGAGCAAACAGGAUUAGAUA
rnacentral:rRNA from 1 species